rnacentral:rRNA from 1 species
UACGUAGGGGGCAAGCGUUGUCCGGAAUCAUUGGGCGUAAAGCGCGUGUAGGCGGUUCAGUAAGUCUGCUGUGAAAGUCCAGGGCUCAACCCUGGGAUGCCGGUGGAUACUGCUGGGCUAGAGUACGGAAGAGGCGAGUGGAAUUCCCGGUGUAGCGGUGAAAUGCGCAGAUAUCGGGAGGAACACCUAUUGCGAAGGCAGCUCGCUGGGACGUUACUGACGCUGAAGCACGAAAGCGUGGGGAGCGAACGGG